rnacentral:piRNA from 1 species
UAGAGGACAACUUGCUGUUUGAUGAC